AAACUGUAAAAAUGGCUUUGAUUACAGACACUCCUGCUUCAAUGUGUGCUCACUGGCAAGGCUCAGGAGGCAUUCUCCAUCUUGAGUGCUAGGGAUAGUGGUAGCUAUCAGUUGGUUAAAGCUGCUGUGCUUAAGGCAUAUGAGUUGGUACCUGAAGCUUAUCAGCAGCGAUUCAGGAAACUCAGGAAAGAGAGAUAGUCGCACACUGAAUUUGCUUGUGUUUAGCCACUCAUUUCGGCCGCUGGUGUGUUGCUUCUGAGGUGGAGACCAUGGAGGAAUUGCAGGAACUGAUUUUGCUUGAGCAGUUUAAAAAUACUCUGCCUGAUUGGGUUGUAACUUAYUUAAAUGAACAGAAGGUAAGCAAGGUUUCAGAUGCCGCUAAACUGGCUGAUGACUUUGUCUUGACCCAUAAAGUUUUUUCUGGUGAGAGCCAUGGUUUUCGUGACUCUGGCUGCAGGGAGAGCAUUGUGGGGGUUUUCCCCAGCAGGUCUUUGUCAGAAGGGACAGAAAAGUUUUCAGCUAAAAUAGAUCGCAGUUUACGGGGAAAACUGGACCCCAACCUCGUCUGUAACUACUGUUUUGGUCAGGAACACUGGAGAAAUGAAUGUCCGGUGUUGAAGAAAAGAUUAAAGUCUGGUUAUGUUUUCGCAAAACCCUCUGGGGCUGCAGCGUCUAUGCGUGCAGAAGAAAGAGGCCAUGCCGUUGCUGCUGUGCGAGCACAUACAAAACCCUCUUCCUCAGAGUUGGUGAUUGAGGUUCUUGUAGUGGCGCAAGAACAGGCAAAAUCUUCAGCUAAUGAUGAGAUUGAUCUUGGUUAUGUGGCAUUUGUGUCAGAUGGUUAUGUUUCACUGGUCGGGAGCGAUAGGAAGGUACCUGUAAAAAUACUGAGAGAUUCAGGGGCACUGGACUCAUUUAUUGUGGACUCUGUGUUGCCUUUCUCUUCGGAGACAGACACCAGUUUCAGUGUUGAUGUUCGGGGAAUGGGUUUGACUGUUUAUGCAGCUUCUCAGCAUAAACUGACUGAUUUCAGAUCUGGUGCAAGGUGACGUGACCAUGGGAGUGUACCCUUCUUUGCCUAUGGGGGGGGGACACAGGUCAUCUGAGGGAAAGACCUGGCUGGCGAUCGUGUGUGGCCUGUUGUCCCUGCAAUGGUGGACACACCAAUUUCUCAGGUAGAAGAUUUUGAGUCUCCCAAACAUCCUGUUGUAGUACUACCCACUUGUGCAGUGACACGUGCCAUGAGCCAUGCUGAUUUUAGUUCAGAUUUUGACAAUUCAGAUAAGAAAAGAGUUUGUGUUCCCUGUACCUGCUUUUCCUUUGCCUGUAUCUUGCAGUGAUCUUUUAAAAGAGCAAAAAGAUGAUCCCUAACUUCAGCCACUGUACAGCCAAGUUCUACCAGAUGGUGAGGUGGAGAGUKCAGCCCGUGGCUACUUUUUCCAAGAUGACCUGUUGUGUCUCUUCCUGUCCAGUCUGGYUUUCCUCUCUCUUAAACUGCUUCCUAGGGUACCAAGGUUGCCGAGGGAGGUGGCUUCAACGUUGGCUGGUAGGCGGAGCCGGGAGGGAGUGCCUGCAGGUACCUGACCUUUUGGGCAGGGCCUGCAGAAGUUAUAAAAGACCGCUCUUUGGAAUCACAGCUCAGCUAGUCCUGGUGCAGCCACAUGUCCUUUGUUUGGUUUGUUGCACCUUACAACACACUACACCAUGUUCUCACCCAUCCACACACUUCUAACAUGACUGUUGACCUUCCUACUUACACACCCCAUCCAUUAGUUACUUUGCUUGCUUGAUUAAGUUAAAUAAACACAUUUUUGCUUGUUAUAUCUGUGUGGCCUCCCUCUUUGUUGCCGGCCAGGCAGAUACAAUUUACACAUUGGAGCUGGUGUUCCUCUGCUCAUUUCAGAACCCAGACCUCAGGAAA